GUGCCAGCAGCCGCGGUAAUACGUAGGGUGCGAGCGUUAAUCGGAAUUACUGGGCGUAAAGCGUGCGCAGGCGGUUUUGUAAGCCAGAUGUGAAAUCCCCGGGCUUAACCUGGGAAUGGCAUUUGGGACUGCAAGGCUUGAGUAUGGCAGAGGGGGCUAGAAUUCCUGGUGUAGCAGUGAAAUGCGUAGAUAUCAGGAGGAAUACCGAUGGCGAAGGCAGGCCCCUGGGUUAAUACUGACGCUCAUGCACGAAAGCGUGGGGAGCAAACAGGAUUAGAAACCCUAGUAGUCC
rnacentral:rRNA from 1 species